UACGUAGGAGGCAAGCGUUGUCCGGAUUUACUGGGCGUAAAGAGCGUGUAGGCGGUUCGUUAAGUCCGCUGUGAAAUCUCUGGGCUCAACUCAGAGUAGUCGGUGGAAACUAGCGAACUUGAGGACGGUAGAGGGGGGGUGGAAUUCCCCGGUGUAGUGGUGAAAAUGCGUAGAGAUCGGGAGGAACACCAGCGGCGAAGGCGGCCCCCCUGGGCCGCUCCUGACGCUGAGACGCGAAGGCCAGGGUAGGCGAACGGG
rnacentral:rRNA from 1 species